rnacentral:ncRNA from 1 species
UGACCUCAAAUCAGGUAGGAACACCCGCUGAACUUAAGCAUAUCAAUAAGCGGAGGAAAAGAAAAUAACAAUGAUUCCCCUAGUAACUGCGAGUGAAGAGGGACAAGCUCAAAUUUUAAAUCUAUCGGGUUUUACCUGAUCGAGUUGUAAUUUGAAGAAGCGUUUUCUGCGUAUUUGGUCAGCCUAAGUCCUAUUGAAUGAGGCAUCAUGGAGGGUGAUAAUCCCGUCCGGUUGAUCAUUUGCGUUUUACGAUACGCUUUCUAAGAGUCAAGUUGUUUGGGAUUGCAGCUUAAAAUGGGAGGUAAAUUUCUCCUAAGGCUAAAUAACGGCGAGAGACCGAUAGCGAACAAGUACCGUGAGGGAAAGAUGAAAAGAACUUUGAAAAGAGAGUUAAACAGUACGUGAAAUUGUUGAAAGGGAAACGAUUGAAGCCAGUCGUACCUUCGGGUAAUCAGCCUUUCGGGUGCGAUUCUGUGGAGUGUGAGGAGCUUAAACACCUUCAUGUUUUGCAUAUUCGUACUCUUGGGUGUACUUGCCCGUGUGGUUGGUUAACAUCAAUUUUGGUGGUCAUAAAAUGACUGGGGGAAUGUAGCUUCGAUCUUGUAUUGAAGUGUUAUAGCCUUCGGUAGAUGUGAUGAUCGAGAUUGAGGAUUGCAACGGAUACCCUU